CGGGUAGGUAAGCAGUGGGUUUGUGCGGGACUGAAUCCGUUGCUAAUCUCGGGCUUGUUUUCGUCAUCCGUCCUUAUUAUAGCUUUGGGAAGAGUUCUAGUUAGAGGUAGGGGUUGGGUGGCUAGAGAUUUGGCCUAAGAUGAUUACACCCGUAAAUAUAUCCCAUUGAGUUCAGACGGAUUUAUUCCGGAUCUUCUAUGCUUAGGUUCUUGUCUGCCUCUCGGCAUGUUUUCGGUACCAUGUUUUCUCCCGUGCAAAAAUUCAUGGUAGUGUUCAAGCCCCACUUUUCCUUUUUCUCUCCCGGUACACGUGCUUGUGCUAUGGAAAGAAAUCGUAUAUAUUGAAGGUUAGACCGGGAAGUGCUGUAAAACUGCUCUUUUGCAGAGCUAGAGGGGGAAAUCGGUUAAAUGCUGGCUCUUGAGUAAGAAUCUUUUCACUCCGGUUAAGGGUGUAAUCUAUGGAUGCUGGAAGGCCUUUUUUUUUGUCUAAAACAUCCUUGGGAGUGUGCCUUUAGUGGCUUUUGUUUUGUAUGUGCCAUGUUUUAAAAAAUGACUUCUUGUAAAGAGCAAAAAGUGUCCGAAAGGUUAUUCAGGCCUCAUAUGGGUAAAAUCCCUUAAAAUGUGGAUCUAAGAAAGCAGUGCGUUCUCUUUUUGUACUCCUGGAUGCUUCCCCACCUUCAUCCCUGUCUCAAGACUAAGUAGAAGCCAAAAGUCUGUCAUUUAGCAGAGGUGUUCACAUUUGUUCUUUUAAAGCUUCCCUCACCACGUGUUCAACAGAUUGGGGAAAAAAUGGAUGGGCACUACUUACCUUCGUCACCAAAGCAGUGCUAUAUCAUCAUGGAAACCAGACAUCUGGCAUGGACACCGGACUUUCUUUUUCCACAUGCAUUUAGAACAUGUGUUUGGAGGAGGACAAACACCAAAUAUUUCAAAUAUACCAUUCUGAAGUGAGCAGCUGCAUUGCAAGAUGAUCUGAGGAAAUUCUGAAAAUGCCUGAGAUUUCUAAACUCAGGAGUUUGUUACCUCUUGAUAGUGAAGCUAAGGAAUGAUGAUUCUGAAAAAGAUGGAAAACUGUUGAUGCUUUGCUUCUCCCCACUGCAUCCUGAGCCCCGUCUAUGAAGCGAAUGCUCGAAACAGGCUUUAAAAAGAAAACUUCUUCUUUGAUUACUGCUUGGGAAAAAGUGGCACGGAAGACUGAGGAAGACAUUUGUAAACAAGACACUGAAUCUCCUUUGUAAGGGUUGUGUGAGCCCACUUGCAAUAAUGUUUUUGUCUGAAUAAAAGUGUUGUCACAUUAA